rnacentral:rRNA from 1 species
GAGUUUGAUCGUGGCUCAGGACAAACGCUGGCGGGGUGCAUGAGACAUGCAAGUCGAACGGGGUUGAGCGGGCUUGCUCGAUCAACCUAGUGGCGGACGGCUGAGUAACGCGUAGGUGACCUGUCCGGAAGUGGGGAAUAACUGCCCGAAAGGGUGGCUAAUACCGCAUGUGGUCGGCGAUUCGGUUCGCCGUGCAAAGCCGCAAGGCGCUUCCGGAGGGGCCUGCGUCCGAUUAGCUAGUUGGUGGGGUAACGGCUCACCAAGGCGACGAUCGGUAGCUGGUCUGAGAGGAUGAUCAGCCAGACUGGGACUGAGAACGGCCCAGACUCCUACGGAGGCAGCAGUCGGGAAUUUGCCCAAUGGACGAAAGUCUGAGGCAGCAACUCCG